ACUGAAACAAUGAAGGGGAUCAGUAAACAGUCUAUGUCUAUCCAAGAGAGGGAGCCGGCGGUGGGAGGCUUCUAUAGACAGCUGCCGAACCUGCCCCGGAGUUCGCUGCCGGAUACUUGAAGGCAGCAGCGGCACAUGCCGUUAUCAUGAAGAGAGUAUAAAGCCUUGCUUUAUAAAUUAGGGUGGUACCGCCAUGAUCUGGUCCCUAUU
rnacentral:ncRNA from 1 species